ACUUAGUCCCCUAUAGUACAUUUUGACCAUGACAUCCUCCAUCUAAUUGGUAGGAGUAGACGUGAUUUUACCGAAAUGUCAACAAGAAAUUAUAAUAAUAAAAUAAUACAAAAUGGAAACUAGAUAAAAGGAUUUGGUAUGGCAUGGGCAUGCAGCCAAACACAACACGUCCUAGAGAAGCAUGACCAUGACAUCCUCCAUUUAAUUGGUUGACGUCCUUGUCAACUAACUACGCUCGAACUCGAGGGAUUUGGUAUGACAUGAGCAUGCAGCCAAACACAACACGUCCUAGAGAAGCAUGACCAUGACAUCCUCCAUCUAAUUGGUUGACGUCCUUGUCAACUGACUACGCUCAAACUCGAUGAUAUGGAUGGUGACUGACCAAGUCUUCAGUGUGCUCCAAACUUGUCUCUUCUGUUGGAAGAUUCUUCCAUUUAAUAAGGAAUUCUCAAACUCUCCAUACAAGUCUUCUUACUUUUUUUUAUUCUAUUGGCAAGAAUCUCUUCAACCUCCUUGAUGUCAUUUUGCUCCUUGAUGUCAUUUUGCUACAAAUCGAGUCCCAAGUCUAACAAUGGAAUUGUGACUAUCAUCGUCAGGAUCGGAGUGAUAGGGUUUUAAGUUACUCAAGUAGAUUACUAGAUGAAUUUUCAUCCAUAUGGGUGAUGUCACCCUAUAAGAGGUAGACACGACCUUCUUAAGAAUUUUGACGGGCCCUUCAUACUUUCUAACAAGUCUUUGAUCUUUCCAACUUCAAAAUCAAAUAUGUUCAGUCUAAGUUUGUUUAUGUUCCUCCAACAUGACAUUGUACACAACGAUAUCGUCAAGGUACACAACAAUGAAUUGGUCUAGGUAUUCAUGAAAAACCUGGUUCAUCCACGAACAUAAUGUAAGUGGGGCAUUCGUCAAGCCAAAACCCAGUACCAUAAACUUAAAAGUCCCAUAUCUCGUUACGCAAGUUUUCAUAAGUUCAUCUCCUUCAACCAUGCACACUUGGUAGUAUCUUGAUCAUAAAUCCAAUUUCGUUAAGUAUUUAACCCCAUAGAGUUGGUCAAACAAAUCAUAUAUUAUCAGCAAGAGACACUUGGUCCAUACUGUCACCUUUUUUAAAGCUCUAUAGUCGAUGCAUAGACUUGUGUCCUGUCUUUCUUCUUCUGAAAUAAUACAGGGUGGCAUAAGGUGCCUUCGUGGGACAGAUGAACCCUGUAGCCAACAGCUCGUCUAAUUGCUUCCUCAAUUCAGCUAACUUUGAUAGAGCCAUCCAAUAUGCGUUUUUCGUUGGGGGUUUAACUCCAAGUAGGAACUCAAUUUCGUGAUCGAUGCCACAAUGAGGGUGUAAUGUCUUUGGCAAGCUAUUUGGCAUUAUAUCAACAUAACUAUGCAGAACACUUUUUACUUCACUUGGGAUAGGUUCUGCGGUGAUUACAUCUUCUAUCAUUGGCCAUGAAUGUAGACUUUUAUCGGGCGAACCCUUUCUUUCUCCAUCUUGUAGAAGUUAGGUGAAUGUAGUGAUGAAGAAUUUGAAAAGACAGCAGAUAAUAGCUAAGGGCAAUAGUUCCACCUAUUCUUCAAAUUCGUUUUGGGUUAGAAAAGAAAAGGAGGUGAUCAGUAUUAGAAGUAGAAAAACUUAACCAUCUCUUGUAUUCAACCUGGAGAGUUCUAAGAUCACAGAGACCAUACAUUCAGACCAACCCACUCCACUUGUCUUCUUCCUCAUAUACGUUUCACUACCUCUAUACUUGAGCUUGCUAAAUUUAAAUACCAAAAAAAAUACCAAAAAUAAGCAUUAAUAGUAAAAACUCAAGGUCAAAAAAGUGUAAAAUCUUACCACCUAGGGAUUAAAUGGAAACUAAACUCUGAACUCAACGAUAAGCUUGGAAAUCAAGAGUAUUGUAACACUUGGGAUCCUAGGGACCAAACUAAAACUAAAACUAAGCUCGAAUGUCAAGAGUAAAAAUAUAACAUUUUGAAACAUUUGAUAUAAAGACUUGAGAAGGUAUUGAAGUAAUCAGAAGUAAAAAAAAAAAAAAA